rnacentral:rRNA from 1 species
AUGGAGCAGAUGUUCGGUAUGAUGAGAGGCCAACUGACUAAAAACCCAGAACAAGGUGUCACGAUUGGAGACUUCCAAAAGACUAGACCACCAACCUUUUCAACCGCCACAGACCCAUUAGCCGCAGAUGAUUGGUUGAUGGACAUAGAGCUAAAACUUAACACUGUGGGAUGCACGGACCAAGAAAAAGUUCGGUAUGCAUCCCAUCAGUUAAUUGGUCCUGCUGCCACAUGGUGGAGAAAUGUCCAAAUUAACAUACCCGAAAACCACAUAGUUACAUGGGACGAAUUUAAGAGGAGAUUUCGAGAUAACUACGUCCCGCAAAGUGCGAUGGAAAUAAAGAGGAAGGAAUUCCUGAACCUCAAGCAAGGGUCUAAGACCAUCGCAGAGUACCUAGAUGAGUUUAACUCACUAUCCUGCUAUGCACCAGAGGACACAAACACUGAGACCAAAAAGGUGUACCGGUUCGUAGAAGGAUUGAACCCGUCCAUACAACUUAUUAUAGCUCCUAUAAAAAUCACCGAGUUUCGGGAGCUAGUAGACCGAGUCAUUACAAUCGAGAACCGGCAAAUCGCCGUAGAGGAAGAGCGAAGGAAGAAAGCUAGGAUGGACCCGAGGUUUGCCAUGAGAAGUGGGAAUCGUCCUGUUGGCCUAGUCCGCGUGCCAAUGGUCGGGCCUGUCCGUCCUCCUUUCCGUCAAGCUCCUAGACCACCUUUUAUGCCUCCGAGAGCCCCUAUCAAAUGUCACGUGUGCUGUGGACCACACUUGGCUCGAGAUUGCCCAAAGGCGAGUGUUGUCUGUUUUGGUUGUGGACAAAAGGGACACUACAAAAAUCAGUGCCCAAGCAAGGGUCAACCACAAUCUGGCACAAAUGGAGCUGUCCCACCUCAAAAUAAGCGCGAGGCUUAUUCAGCACAAGUACACGGGAGUGCGUCCACUGCCAACCGCGGGCGUGGUCGUGGCAGUCUUGCACGUGGACCAUUCCGUCUGACACAUAUGGAUGUGGCACAAGUGGAGUCGGCUUCAGACAUAGUGACGGGCACUCGAUUGAAAUUUGGAACACUUAUGGAGAAGGAAUCAGAAUUAGUACUUACCAGUAGUAGCAGUAGGAUGUGGCUAGUCCACACCGUUAGCAACAGAGCCAUGCGACCGAGCAGCGCCGGUGAAGCCGCACACGCCCGACGCCCGUGGCUGCACGCCUCGUGCGUGUGGCUGCACUGGGGGAGGAUAGGGAGACGAGGAGAAUCUGUAGGUGUCCACCGUGUCGCCGGAGAUGCCCGGACGGGGCAGAUUGAGGCGGCGGCGGCCAUGCUCUGUUCUUGGGGAGAGAGAGAGGUGGGUGGCUGGUUCUGUUCUUGGGAUAGCAGAGAAGACGAGGAGAGGAACGAGCUGGGUUCAACGAGUAAAGUGGAUCCACUGAUUUGGCAAUUGGACCAGAUCAGGGGAGCUCAUGUUGGUGAAAGCAACCCAGGGAGGGUCGGCUUGGAUGGUGGGCUCCUCUACAUAGGGUAUCACAUUAGGACACAACCAACUGGCGCUUACUUCAAAAGCGGCGCAAACCGUACUGACCAUAGACCUGGAAUGGGACGGGCUGAACCAACUACCCAUGCCAAGUAG